CUACGGUGCCUGCCUGGUUCUAGAGACUGGUCCACCUCUGUUUUGAGAUUUUGUAGACCCAUGAAACAUUUCAACUGCCUAAUACUUCUGAUUUCACCUACAACAUGAGAAUGAUCCUGAUGGUCGUGAAUAUAUCAUUAUAGGAAGAAUUAAGAUAAUCCUUAAAUUUUCUCCCCUCCCGUGAAAAUACAAUCUAUAGAAUAUAACUUAGAAAUAAAUUAAUGGGAUGGACUCAGACUCAGCAUGUCUUGACAUUUUUGAAUUUUUUUUUACCUUGGCCUGGCAGGUCAACUGACCACAGCAGUUUAUUCUAUAGCAAUAUGGAUUUUGCCAACAUAAUAAAAUUCAUGCAGUGUUUGAAUGUUAUAAACAUGACUUAUUUAGCUCUUUUUAGAUUAAAAAAAAAAAGGGAGCUUACUUUGCCAGAGUGGUGAGAAGUUAAUUUACAUAUGGGAAAACAAAUCUGGAAUUUGGCUCUGACCAAUAGAGGUCUUCUCUAUAUUAUUAUCCCAUUUCCAAAAGGAAUUUGAGGUGAUUUACAAAGAUGUAGGGAAACAAAAUCUAAUAAAAUCUGGAGGAAGGGAAAAUAAACAUUGAAAACAAAGGCAGGGUCUUAACAUAUCCACAUCGUAGUAAAAUAAAAGCCAUGGUCCCACCUGUCACUGCAGAUCCCCUACCAGGUCGGGCCUGAUGAGGAUACUCAACAGCACACAAAUGAUGAUACUGUGUAUCUGGCUG